CUGGCUCAGAACGAACGCUGGCGGCGCGUCUUAAGCAUGCAAGUCGGACGGCAAGGGGAGCUUGCUCCCCCUAGAGUGGCGGACUGGUGAGUAACGCGUGGGUGACCUACCCUUGAGAUGGGGAUAGCCAUUAGAAAUAGUGGAUAAUACCGAAUACGCUCUUUUUUGCUGUGGCGAGAAGAGGAAACAGGCUACGGCCUGGCUCGAGGAUGGGCCCGCGUCCCAUUAGCUAGUUGGUGAGGUAACGGCCCACCAAGGCGACGAUGGGUAUCCGGCCUGAGAGGGUGUACGGACACAUUGGGACUGAGAUACGGCCCAAACUCCUACGGGAGGCAGCAGCUAAGAAUAUUCCGCAAUGGACGAAAGUCUGACGGAGCGACGCCGCGUGGAUGAAGAAGGCCGAAAAAGGUUGUAAAAUCCUUUUGCUGAUGAAGAAUAAGUGGUGUAGGGAAUGACAUCAUGAUGACAUUAGUCGGUGAAUAAGCCCCGGCUAACUACGUGCCAGCCGCUGC
rnacentral:rRNA from 1 species